rnacentral:misc_RNA from 1 species
AAGUCGUAACAAGGUUUCCGUAGGUGAACCUGCGGAAGGAUCAUUAACAAGGGUUAUUUUACCCGCGAUCAUCCACCGUGUGCACUUUUAUCGAACUUUUGCUUUUGGCAGACUUGGUUCCCUUUUUUUUUUAGGGGUCAACUUGCCAAAGGUUUUUUUUCAACCAUAGCCUGAUUGUUUGACUGAACAAAUUUUUGAAAUAAAAUCAAAUACAACUUUCAACAACGGAUCUCUUGGCUCUC